CGGACACGGCUCUACUUAAAUACGGACUAGAGGUUUUUCUGAAAUAUAUCAUGUAAAAAGAGAUUUCUCUUAAGAGCUUAAUUGAAGUCUGUAUGGAUUUGACGUUUUGUCUGUCUGAUGUUUAACACGCAUCAUUCUGCUUUUGCCUCAGACUGACGGUGAUCCUGAUAACCCCACAGUUCUGAAUAGUCCAGCACCUUCACUCUUCUGCAGUUUUUGAAGGCAGGAGUGAUGAAGCCUCUCAGUGCUUAGGCCAGUAUGACUAAGACAGUACAAGAUUACCUGUGACAUGGGCAGGGGAACAGAGGCACUAGAGUGUUUGUUCAGUGACACGGGCAUGCUGCAGUGCAUUGUGGGGCCGGAGUCGAUGCAUGUUCCAAUGAACUGCCUCAUUCAUCUCGAUAUGACCACUCUGUGGUCUCUCUCUCUCCCUAAUGGGUAGGAACAGCUGUGUAAAAGAGCACCUCUCACUAACAUCAGCCAUUAUUUCAUUACCCUGUAUGUUGAAGUGUGCAGAGAGCCGAAGUACGUUAAUGAAGACAGCACCAUGUCAACACGGAUUGGAUGUGGCAUUUAUUACAGAUAUUACAGCCUCAAUCAUCCUGAUGCAUUACACACACGAUUGUGUGAAAUGUUGAAAGUGAGCAUGGGUUUUUAUAUUGAUUGACUUUAUUUCAUGUUAUAUAGACGGGAAAAUUCCCACCAGCUUGUUGUUUCACAGUAGAAAUGUUUUUGACGCUUCUUUGGAGAUUGGAAAAUAGCUCUUGGAUUUGCAGAGAUGUCUCUGAAUAAAUGAC
ensembl:lncRNA